GACGAACGCUGGCGGCGUGCUUAACACAUGCAAGUCGAACGGCAAGGCCCUGCUUUUGUGGGGUGCUCGAGUGGCGAACGGGUGAGUAACACGUGAGUAACCUGCCCUUGACUUUGGGAUAACUUCAGGAAACUGGGGCUAAUACCGGAUAGGAGCUCCUGCUGCAUGGUGGGGGUUGGAAAGUUUCGGCGGUUGGGGAUGGACUCGCGGCUUAUCAGCUUGUUGGUGGGGUAGUGGCUUACCAAGGCUUUGACGGGUAGCCGGCCUGAGAGGGUGACCGGCCACAUUGGGACUGAGGUACGGCCCAGACUGCUACGGGAGGCAGCAGUGGGGAGUAUUGCACAGUGGGCGGAAGCCUGAUGCAGCAGCGCCGCGUGCGGGAUGACGGCCUUCGGGUUGUAAACCGCUUUCGCCUGUGACGAAGCGUGAGUGACGGUAAUGGGUAAAGAAGCACCGGCUAACUACGUG
rnacentral:rRNA from 1 species